rnacentral:rRNA from 1 species
UGGGGAAUAUUGGACAAUGGGGGCAACCCUGAUCCAGCAAUGCCGCGUGAGUGAUGAAGGCCUUAGGGUUGUAAAGCUCUUUUACCGGGGACGAUGAUGACGGUACCCGGAGAAUAAGCCCCGGCUAACUUCGUGCCAGCAGCCGCGGUAAUACGAAGGGGGCGAGCGUUGUUCGGAGUUACUGGGCGUAAAGGGCGCGUAGGCGGCGCUCCAAGUUAGGCGUGAAAGCCCCGGGCUCAACCUGGGAAUUGCGCUUAAGACUGGAGUGCUCGAGUGCGGGAGAGGUGAGUGGAAUUCCCAGUGUAGAGGUGAAAUUCGUAGAUAUUGGGAAGAACACCAGUGGCGAAGGCGGCUCACUGGCCCGCAACUGACGCUGAGGCGCGAAAGCGUGGGGAGCAAACAGG